rnacentral:rRNA from 1 species
GAUGAACGCUGGCGGCGUGCCUAAUACAUGCAAGUCGAACGCAAAGACUCUGCCUUUGUUGGUUGAACGAGUGGCGAACGGGUGAGUAACACAUAAGUAACCUACCCAUGAAGUCGGGGUAACUCUCUGGAAACGGGGACUAAAACCGGUAAGAUAUCCUGAAGCCAUGUGCUGAUUAGUAAAGGUCGGCAUUACUGGAGGAUCUCGUUAUGUCGCAGUCGGUAGUUGGUGAGGUAACGGCCCAAGAAGACGAUGGUGCGUAGCCGGGCUGAGAGGGGGAACGGCCACAUUGGGACUGCGGCACAGCCCAGAAUGGUACGGGGGGGAGCAGUAGGGAAUUUUAGGGGAUGGGGGAAGACCUGACCGAGCAGCGCCGGGUGAGUGAGGCCGGGGUUCGGGUUGUAAGGCUAUGUUGUAAGGGAAGAACGGUAGAUAGAGAAUAUCUAAAUGACGGUACCUUACCAGAAAGCCACGGCUAACUACGUG